rnacentral:rRNA from 1 species
CGGGGCGAAGAUAAGGUGGAUUAGCGGCGGACGGGUGAGUAACACGUGAGUAACCUGCCUUAGACAUAGGGAUAGCCUCGGGAAACCGGGAUUAAAACCUGAUGAAACUAUCAAAUCACAUGAUUAAGAAAGUUAAAACUCCGGUGGUAAAAGAUGGACUCGCGUCCCAUUAGCUAGUUGGUGAAGGUAACGGCCCACCAAGGCAACGAUGGGUAGCCGGCCUGAGAGGGUGAACGGCCACAUUGGAACUGAGAAACGGUCCAAACUCCUACGGGAGGCAGCAGCC